rnacentral:lncRNA from 10 species
CUUGGCCAAUCCCAGCAGUCAUACUUCAACCACUCAUAUACAGCUGAGUGUUCAAACUGUGUUCAAAAAAGGCAAACGCCCAGCUGUAACCAACCCAGCUGUUUUUAUGCCUUACUUCCGAUUUCUGUAUGUCACUUCCCUUUUUUGUCUAUAAAUUUGUUCUGACCACUAGGCAUCACUGUAGUCUCUCUGAAUCUGCUGUGAUUCUGAAGGCUGCCCAGCUUGUGAAUCAUUCAUUGCUCAAUUAAACCCUUUAAAUUUAAUUUGGCUGAAGUUUUUCUUUUAACAGAGGCUUAGCAAUGGAAUUAAGGGGGUGGGGAGGCUGUCCUUUUGGUGAAUUUUUUUUUUUUUUUUUUUUUACGGCUGCACCAAAUGCUUUUCCAGAAGUUUUUGUCCUCUCUUUGAGCACUUGGAAAGCCUGUGCCCUUUGUAACCACCUGCCAGGCCUUGCAAGGUAGAAAGGCAUCUACAUUCAGAGAAACCUUCUGAGGCCCUCCUGAUACAAAGAUAAUCCAAGGGGAGUCCCAAUGUCAGCCUGAGAUGAGAGGAUCUUCCAGCCUCUUGGGACCUUCUCUCUGAUCAGCUUUCUCAGCGAGGUUUCUCAGUGCCACUAGUCACUCUUCUCCUUGCCUUGAUGGUGCCCCACCAAUUGGUAGCUAUCUUCUCACUUUUGGCCACUCCUCAGGCACUUUUUGUGUAGUUCAUGAUGCCCUAAGAGAUUUUAAACUGUCUGUAACACUGGCAAGAGCUAUAUCUCUUCACUAUUGAAAAAUAAGGAAGUCUCAAUGACUUUCACGAGAAUAUUCAGGAAUUAUAACUAAGGUCUGCAAGUCUGGCUUAGAAGCAACUGCCUUCAGAAUGGCCAGUUAUUGCUGGUGACCAGUGUGAUAACUGAUCAGUAGAAACUCCACACCCUUGGAUGAGUCAUGUUUCCAGGCUGAUUACAUCUCUUUCACAGCAAACGGCCUUCUCAGGAGAGCCAGCUUAGCAUCUCACUGGAGCCAGACAGCCUUGGUAUUAGAGUGAUAGCAUAAGGGAUCCUUUCUGUUUGCUAUAAUAAGCCUCACUUCCUAUAAAGAAAGAAGUGGAGAGAUUUUGACUUUGCAAGACACUUCUAGAGAAAAAUUGGCCCACACAGUAGAGGAGCAGAAGGAGAACAACUUGGAUGUAUGCAUCAGACCUUGCCCCCUUGAAAAUCCUGAACCAGAGAGUGUGGCAGAUUACAGAUGACUGCAAAUUCAUUGAUAUUCCUCCUGUUGAGAGAGCCCUGAGUCACCAUUUAAGAAGUCCGACUACCCUGCUGAAGAGAUCACAUGGAGGGGCUCUGAGACUACAGCCUGAGAGCUGUUCCCACCAAGGUGUCAGGCUUGUGACUGAAGCCAUCUUGGAUGUUCCAGACUGGCCCAGGUCAGCUGGGGCUCUGCUCUGCAUCUUCCUCCCUCUGGAACCCUAGCUGAGUGAGUGGUCACUAUCUGGAACAUUGCUGGCCAUUGUGACAGAGGGGGCACUGAGCUCUGGAGGGUUUCACACAGGUAAUUAAAUGGCUUUGGUUGGGAAGUGACACCCUUCUACUCAUAACUUAUUGGCCACCUAAUCCCAUGGUACCACCCAAACACAGAAGAGCCCUGAUAUGGUUUGGCUGUGUCCCCACCCAAAUCUCAUCUUGAGUUGUAGCCCCCAUAAUCCCCACGUGUGGUGGGAGGGACCCAGUAGGAGAUGACUGAAUCAUGGGGGCAGUUUCCCCCACAAUGUUCUGCGGUAGUGAAUAAGUCUCAUGAGAUCUGAUGGUUUUAUAAGGGGUUUCCCCUUUCACUUGGCUCUCAUUCUGUCUUACCUGCUGCCAUCUAAGACAAGCCUUUUGCCUUCCACCAUGAUUGUGAGGUCUCCCAAGCCAUGCGGAACUGUGAGUCCAUUAAACCCCUUUUUCCUUAUAAACUACUCAGUCUUGGGUAUGUCUUUAUCAGCUGUGUAAAAACGGACUAAUACAGGCUCAGAAAUGCAAUCCUACUAUAUUCCUGGAAGAGGGAGAGCAAGAUAUAUUGAGAACCUAAUGAAAACCUCAGACCUGAUUUCAUAUAAUGCACUUAUACACCAUCACCCCAAAUCACCCAU